rnacentral:rRNA from 1 species
UACGUAGGGACCAAGCGUUGUUCGGAUUUACUGGCGUAAAGGGCGCGUAGGCGGCAAUUCAAGUCAGUUGUGAAAUCUCCGAGCUUAACUCGGAACGGUCAAGUGAUACUGCAGUGCUAGAGUGCAGAAGGGCAAUCGGAAGUUCUUGGUGUAGCGGUGAAAUGCGUAGAUAUCAAGAGGAACACCUGAGGCGAAGGCGGGUGCUAGGCUGACACGUGACGCUGGACAGCGCGAAGCCAGGGAGCAAACGGG